rnacentral:rRNA from 1 species
CCUACGGGAGGCAGCAGUAAGGAAUAUUGGUCAAUGGGCGCAAGCCUGAACCAGCCAUGCCGCGUGCAGGAAGACGGCCCUAUGGGUUGUAAACUGCUUUUGAACAAGAGAAAACCUCGGUACGUGUACCGAGCUGAUAGUAUUGUUAGAAUAAGCAUCGGCUAACUUCGUGCCAGCAGCCGCGGUAAGACGAAGGAUGCAAGCGUUAUCCGGAUUCAUUGGGUUUAAAGGGUGCGUAGGCGGCCUGAUAAGUCAGUGGUGAAAUCUCUCAGCUUAACUGAGAAACUGCCAUUGAUACUGUCGGGCUUGAGUACAGAUGAUGUGGGCGGAAUAUGACAUGUAGUGGUGAAAUACUUAGAUAUGUCAUAGAACACCGAUUGCGAAGGCAGCUCACAAAACUGUAACUGACGCUGAGCACGAAGUAGCGGAGUACAACAGAUAGAUACCUACGUAGUCGCGACCGUAACG